AGCGAAUAGAUACCCCGGUAGUCCUGGCCCUAAACCGAUGAGUGCUUGGUGUGGCGGGUAGUCGAUCCCUGCCGUGCCGAAAGCUAACGCAUUAAGCACUCCGCCUGGGGAGGUACGGUCGCAAGGCUGAAACUCAAAGGAAAUUGACGGGGGCCCGGCACAAGCGGUGGAGCAUGUGGUUUAAUUUCGACGCAACGCGAAGAACCUUACCCACGGCUCGAAAUGCAGGGGACGAGACGGCGAAAGUCGUUUUCCGCAAGGACUCCUGUAUAGGUGCUGCAUGGCUGUCGUCAGCUCGUGUCGUGAGAUGUUUGGGUUUAAGUCCCGCAACGAGCGCAACCCUUGUUCGCUGUUGCCAUCAGGUCAAGCUGGGCACUCUGCGAAGACUGCCGGUGAUAAACCGGAGGAAGGUGGGGAUGACGUCAAGUCAGCAUGGCCUUUAUGUCUGGGGCCACACACGUGCUACAAUGGCCGGUACAAAGCGUCGCAAGCCCGCGAGGGGGAGCUAAUCGCAUAAAGCCGGUCUCA
rnacentral:rRNA from 1 species